rnacentral:rRNA from 1 species
GACGAACGCUGGCGGCGUGCUUAACACAUGCAAGUCGAACGGAAAGGCCUCUUUCGGGGGGUACUCGAGUGGCGAACGGGUGAGUAACACGUGAGUAACCUGCCCUUGACUUUGGGAUAACUUCAGGAAACUGGGGCUAAUACCGGAUAGGAGCUCCUGCUGCAUGGUGGGGGUGGAAAGUUUCGGCGGUUGGGGAUGGACUCGCGGCUUAUCAGCUUGUUGGGGGGGUAGUGGCUUACCAAGGCUUUGACGGGUAGCCGGCCUGAGAGGGUGACCGGCCACAUUGGGACUGAGAUACGGCCCAGACUCCUACGGGAGGCAGCAGUGGGGAAUAUUGCACAAUGGGUGGAAGCCUGAUGCAGCAACGCCGUGUGCGGGAUGACGGCCUUCGGGUUGUAAACCGCUUUCGCUCAUGACGAAGCUUUGUGUGACGGUAGUGGGUAAAGAAGCACCGGCUAACUACGUG